rnacentral:rRNA from 1 species
CCUACGGGAGGCAUCAGUGGGGAAUAUUGGACAAUGGGGGGAACCCUGAUCCAGCCAUGCCGCGUGUGUGAAGAAGGCCCUCGGGUUGUAAAGCACUUUCAGUGAGGAAGAACGCCUGGUGGUUAAUACCCAUCAGGAAAGACAUCACUCACAGAAGAAGCACCGGCUAACUCCGUGCCAGCAGCCGCGGUAAUACGGAGGGUGCGAGCGUUAAUCGGAAUUACUGGGCGUAAAGCGCGCGUAGGUGGCUUGAUAAGCCGGUUGUGAAAGCCCCGGGCUCAACCUGGGAACGGCAUCCGGAACUGUCAAGCUAGAGUGCAGGAGAGGAAGGUAGAAUUCCCGGUGUAGCGGUGAAAUGCGUAGAGAUCGGGAGGAAUACCAGUGGCGAAGGCGGCCUUCUGGACUGACACUGACACUGAGGUGCGAAAGCGUGGGUAGCAAACAGGAUUAGAUACCCCUGUAGUC